GCGUCAGCUCGGCAGUGGGGUGAACCCCAGGUUUCUGUGUCAAGACGCCUGGGUUCUAUUUCUAGUGGAGCUGUUGACUCAGCCCGUAAUUAUUUCUAAUCACUUAUUUACAUAUGCAGAUCACCAAUCCCCGGCGCGAAGGAGGAAGGAUGGCGUGGAACUCAACCUGUGACCAGGGAAACUGAAUCACUGGAUGCCUGAGCGAAGAUGCGUCCGAUGUGGGAAACUGGGCUGGUCCCAGACGUUUUCCCAAUUCCCACCAAACUGGAAAAGCCAGCGCGAGCAAGGGUGAGAAACAUGCCUGGAACCAGAAGGAAUCAGUACCAGAGGAAAAGACAGGUACAUCCCAGGCCAACAGAAAUGAAACAAUGAGUGGGCGUGAACUCGGAGUUGAGACGGGGGACUUGCGGCCCCUAAAGCCCCUGUCACCUUUAGGGUCUGCUCUGGAGUUUCUGCACCCAGGACCUGCACACCCAGCCCUGUUUUCUGAGGAUCGGUGCCCCGUUUGCUCACUCCUCACCUGUCCAUGGCCUGCGCCUCCUCCCCACACCCUGGAAUUGUAAAAGGCUGCUCUCUAUGGCCCCAAACUCCAGAAGCGCAUUUCCAGCAGCUCGCUGACACUUCCACUUGUAUAUCUAAACAGGCUAGGGAUCUAAUCGGAACUGCAGCUGCCAGCCUACGCCAGAGCCACAGCAACGCAGGAUCCAAGCCGCGUCUGCAACCUACACCACAGCUCACGGCAACGCCGGAUUGUUAACCCACUGAGCAAGGGCAGGGACCGAACCCGUAACCUCAUGGUUCCUAGUCGGAUUUGUUAACCACUGCGCCACGAUGGGAACUCCAAAAAUGUCUGCUAUUGAUCAACUUCUCUCAAUUUCCAGACCUACCAACCUGGUCCAGCCCCCCCAUCAUCAGUUUCCUGGUCUGAAAUCUGGUCUUCUUGCUUCCAUUCUCCCCCCUACAACUCACGGUUCAGGGAAGAGCCAGUGAUCACUCUUUUUAAGAAAGGAAAAAAGAUGUCAUCAGUCUCCUCCUUAAAACUCCUCAAUUGCUUGUAACAUGGCCUCCAAGCCAGGUAUCAUUGGCCCCCGAGAUCGUUCCCCUUCAGCUCCCCCCCCCCCCCCCCUGCUCCAGCCUCUCCAGCCUCCUGCUCUUUCCCCAGUAGGCCAGGGCCCUUCCCACGCCUCUCGCCUUCCCUUCCUUCUGCCAGCACGCCACAGGCCUGUGCCUGGCUUCUCAUCCUUAGGUUUCAGCUCUUCGUAGAGGCCUUCCCCUCCACCCGGCCUACACGCCACCUCCACAAGCAUGUCACUUUGGUUUAGUCUCUUCGCAGCCCUGACUUAAUGUGUGUUCUCCGUCGACAGUGGAAGCUCCAUGAAAGCAAGGACCCCAGCUCUUCCGUUCACACUGUACCCCCGAUGCCUGGCACCAGUUAGGUGUCAGUAUGUGCUUGUUGGAUGGAUGAAAGAAUGAAUGAAUGGC
rnacentral:lncRNA from 1 species